rnacentral:rRNA from 1 species
GAUGAACGCUGGCGGCGUGCUUAAUACAUGCAAGUCGAACGAGGGUGCAGCAAUGUAUCCGAGUGGCGAACGGGUGAGUAACGCGUGGGUGACCUGCCCCGAAGAGCGGGAUAACAGUUCGAAAGGACUGCUAAUACCGCAUGUGGACCUGGGGAUUAGAAAACCAGGGCGAAAGGCGAAAGCCGCUUCGGGAGGGGCCUGCGUCCCAUCAGCUAGUUGGUAAGGUAAAGGCUUACCAAGGCGACGACGGGUAGGGGACCUGAGAGGGUGAUCCCCCACACUGGCACUGAAACACGGGCCAGACACCUACGGGUGGCAGCAGUAGGGAACAUUGCACAAUGGGCGCAAGCCUGAUGCAGCAACGCCGCGUGCGCGAUGAAGGCCUUCGGGUCGUAAAGCGCUUUUCUGGAGGACGAGCAAGGACGGUACUUCAGGAAUAAGGCUCGGCUAACUACGUGCCAGCAGCCGCGGUAAAACGUAGGAGCCUAGCGUUAUCCGAAUUCACUGGGUGUAAAGCGCGUGCAGGCGGACGGGCAAGUUGGAUGUAAAAUCUCCCGGCUCAACUGGGAGCUGACGUACAAAACUGCCUGUCUAGAGGACGGUAGAGGAAGGUGGAAUUCCCGGUGUAGUGGUGAAAUGCGUAGAUAUCGGGAGGAACACCAGUGGCGAAAGCGGCCUUCUGGACCGGUCCUGACGCUCAGAUGCGAAAGCUAGGGGAGCAAACGGGAUUAGAAACCCCGGUAGUCCUAGCUGUAAACGAUGUAGACUGGGUGUCGGUGGGGUAAAAGCCAUCGGUGCCGAAGCCAACGCGAUAAGUCUACCACCUGGGGACUACGGCCGCAAGGUUAA